GGUCUAUGGCCGCUAAUGUCCCUAUGAAAACGACACGGGACAUUGUCUACAUUCUCCAGAAUCAUUACCCUGAGAGACUCGGUAUGGCCUUUCUCUAUAAUCCACCAAGACUAUUCCAAGCAGGCUACAAGGUAACAUAGUCAUUAAACAAACUCAUUAUCAAAAUGUCACUUUUUUUUAAAGAGCCAUUCAUUUUACCUACUCUUCUCCAUGUAGGCUAUUAAGUACUUCUUGGACCCACGCACAGCUCAAAAGGUCAAAUUUGUGUACCCAAAAGACAAAAC
rnacentral:lncRNA from 1 species